GACAGAGGGUGCAAACGUUGUUCGGAUUCAUUGGGCGUAAAGGGUGCGUAGGCGGCGCGGUAAGUCGGGUGUGAAAUCUCGGAGCUUAACUCCGAAAUUGCAUUCGAUACUGCCGUGCUUGAGGACUGGAGAGGAGACUGGAAUUUACGGUGUAGCGGUGAAAUGCGCAGAUAUCAGGAGGAACACCGAUGGCGAAAGGCCAGGUCUCUGGGCAUUAACUGACGCUGAGGAGCGAAAGCAUGGGGAGCGAACAGG
rnacentral:rRNA from 1 species